UACGUAGGGUGCGAGCGUUGUCCGGAAUUAUUGGGCGUAAAGGGCUCGUAGGCGGUUUGUCGCGUCGGGAGUGAAAACCAUGGGCUUAACUCAUGGCUUGCUUCCGAUACGGGCAGACUAGAGGUAUGCAGGGGAGAGCGGAAUUCCUGGUGUAGCGGUGAAAUGCGCAGAUAUCAGGAGGAACACCGGUGGCGAAGGCGGUUCUCUGGGCAUUACCUGACGCUGAGGAGCGAAAGUGUGGGGAGCGAACAGG
rnacentral:rRNA from 1 species